UGUCAGGGACACAAGGUGACACAGCCUGUCUGCCACUGCUGGAGCAAUCCCAGCAGUGUGGCACUGCAGGGCCUGGCUCACCACCAGAACAAGAGAGAAACAUCUUUUCCUGUUUUGUGUGGCUGUGACAACCUGGUCAGAGAGCGAGAAAACGAGAUAAGUUUUCCCAGAAUCAUCCUGAGAGACUUUAGGGAGUUAAAGAUAAACAAUGAUAGCUUAUUAUAAAUGUUGGUUGUCCUACUCUCUGUUUUCUUGUUUUUCUCAAAGAUUGUUUAUAAAAAGGGUAUCUUGGUAAAUAGCCAGUCAGGUGAAAGAUACUAACUAAAUGACCAAUCCAGUACACCUGGAUCAGAAGAGUGUAUGUAAAGGAAGCAAUCCAAAUUAAAUGGCAUGUUUUACCAAUCAGCCUUCUAGUAAACCUGUGCCAUUUCUUAUCCAACAGUGACAUUUUGUGUCCGGACUUGUCCCACAGCAUCCCCAGAGGAGAAGGUGUUCUGGUGUUCCAGAAUCUCAGAUUCUAUCCAGAGCUUGUUGGCAGGACAAAGAAUGGCAACUGAGCCGAGAUGCCUGUUCCAGAUUGACACCGGUGAAUUCUGCUGCUGUAAUCACCCGAGGAGCAUUUAUCACCUCCUCAGACCAUAAUGUGGGGAGCAGGUGUCUGACCUGCAAUGACAAAAGCACGGAGUGGCGGCAGGAAGGGAGGAAAUAGAUAAGAUGUCAUUUAUCCAGCACGAUUUUUCUCUCUUUAAUGUUCCCCUAGAUUAUGGGAAACAAUCAUGGGAUGGGGGACGCUGGUGUUUUAUGGUGUCAGAAGGGUUUAAGGUUUUAGGUGUAAAAAAAAAGUGAUGUUGGAUCUCGCUGUAUUAUGGGGUAUUUAUAGGACACACUAAGUUGGGGUUUUUCCAGUUUAUUUACUUGAGUCAGGAAAGAUAAAUGGGUGUCUGGAUCCGAGUACUUGUAUCCAAAGGAAAUUAAAAGAAACACAGUUCUCUUGAACUUGGCCUCCACUUAGGGCAGAGAAAUGACACAGAAAUGACCCUUCUCAGAUUAAAGGACUGCUCAUGCCUCAAAGGAGGUGGUAGAAAUUAGUCUGUAAAAAUUCUUUCCUUCCCAUAUUACACAUUUUCUGCUUUUCUUCAUCUCUGCUUUAAGAGAUACAAAAAUCCACCAGCUUUGCUGUGCUCUCUGGUGGCAUUUCUGAGCACACUCCUCCAUGAGUGCUGCUUUGGUGCUGACUUCACUCUUCCAUCGAUGAACAUAUUUCAAGAUGGAAAACAGUUUUAACUUUCCUGAUCUGCAGUUUUGGGUUUAAAACCUCAUCUCUCAUUUUAAUAAUAGCAAUAAUCCUGUUCUGAGCUGCUUUCAUGUUUUCCAUCUGAAGAGCUGGCAAAUGUCCUACUCAUUUAAGCAUCACAACAUCCUGAGGGCCAGUGAGUGCAAGCUGCCAGGAGUCAGAUCCAGUUCACUGCCCAAAUCAGAGCUGGUGGUGUUUGAAACCUUGUUCUAGACUCAUUAUUGCCAUGUCCUGAUGGGAGUGGGGGAACUGAGAGGCAAUGGGAUCCUGCACUGGAUACAGACAGAGAGUCACAGAAUCAUUAAAGAGGGACAUUUAAUUUAAUGAAUUAAAUCAUCAAGUCCAGCUGCCAACCCUGUACCACCACCACGUUCACCACUAAGCCAUGGCCUCAAGUGCCCCAUCCAUGUGGGUUUUGAGCACUUCCAAGGAAGAUGACUCCACUGUUUCCCUGCACAGGUCAUCCAAAUGUGUUACCACCCUUUCUGUGGAAAAAGAAAAAAUAAAAAUCCAUGAAAAGAUGAA